GAUGAACGCUGGCGGCGUGCUUAACACAUGCAAGUCGAACGGUGAAGGAGAGCUUGCUCUCCGGAUCAGUGGCGAACGGGUGAGUAACACGUGAGCAACCUGCCCCGGACUCCGGGAUAACAGUUGGAAACAGCUGCUAAUACCGGAUACGAGCUGCGAAGGCAUCUUCAGCAGCUGGAAAGAACUUCGGUCCGGGAUGGGCUCGCGGCCUAUCAGCUUGUUGGUGAGGUAACGGCUCACCAAGGCGUCGACGGGUAGCCGGCCUGAGAGGGUGACCGGCCACACUGGGACUGAGACACGGCCCAGACUCCUACGGGAGGCAGCAGUGGGGAAUAUUGCACAAUGGGCGCAAGCCUGAUGCAGCAACGCCGCGUGAGGGACGACGGCCUUCGGGUUGUAAACCUCUUUUAGCAGGGAAGAAGCGAAAGUGACGGUACCUGCAGAAAAAGCGCCGGCUAACUACGUGCCAGCAGCCGCGGUAAUACGUAGGGCGCAAGCGUUAUCCGGAAUUAUUGGGCGUAAAGAGCUCGUAGGCGGUCUGUCGCGUCUGCUGUGAAAACCCGAGGCUCAACCUCGGGCCUGCAGUGGGUACGGGCAGACUAGAGUGCGGUAGGGGAGAUUGGAAUUCCUGGUGUAGCGGUGGAAUGCGCAGAUAUCAGGAGGAACACCGAUGGCGAAGGCAGAUCUCUGGGCCGUAACUGACGCUGAAGAGCGAAAGGGUGGGGAGCAAACAGGCUUAGAUACCCCUGGUAGUCCACCCCGUAAACGUUGGGAACUAGUUGUGGGGACCAUUCCACGGUCUCCGUGACGUAGCUAACGCAUUAAGUUCCCCGCCUGGGGAGUACGGCCGCAAGGCUAAAACUCAAAGGAAUUGACGGGGACCCGCACAAGCGGCGGAGCAUGCGGAUUAAUUCGAUGCAACGCGAAGAACCUUACCAAGGCUUGACAUACACGAGAACGCCCUAGAAAUAGGGAACUCUUUGGACACUCGUGAACAGGUGGUGCAUGGUUGUCGUCAGCUCGUGUCGUGAGAUGUUGGGUUAAGUCCCGCAACGAGCGCAACCCUCGUUCUAUGUUGCCAGCACGUAAUGGUGGGAACUCAUGGGAUACUGCCGGGGUCAACUCGGAGGAAGGUGGGGAUGACGUCAAAUCAUCAUGCCCCUUAUGUCUUGGGCUUCACGCAUGCUACAAUGGCCGGUACAAAGGGCUGCAAUACCGUAAGGUGGAGCGAAUCCCAGAAAGCCGGUCCCAGUUCGGAUUGAGGUCUGCAACUCGACCUCAUGAAGUCGGAGUCGCUAGUAAUCGCAGAUCAGCAACGCUGCGGUGAAUACGUUCCCGGGUCUUGUACACACCGCCCGUCAAGUCAUGAAAGUCGGUAACACCUGAAGCCGGUGGCCCAACCCUUGUGGAGGGAGCCGUCGAAGGUGGGAUCGGUAAUUAGGACU
rnacentral:rRNA from 1 species